GACUAACGCUGGCGGCGUGCUUAACACAUGCAAGUCGAACGGAAAGGCCCUGCUGUUUUGGUGUGCUCGAGUUUCGAACGGUUGAUUAACACGUGAUUAACCUGCCCUUGGCUUUGGGAUUACUUCAGGAAACUGGGGCUAAUACCCGAUAGGUGCUCCUGCUUCAUGUUGUGGUUUGGAAUGUUUCUGCGGUUGGGGAUUUACUCGCGGCUUAUCAGCUUGUUGGUGGGGUAGUGGCUUACCAAGGCUUUGACGGGUAGCAGGACUGGGAGGGUGACAGGCCACAGUGGGAUUGAGAUACGGCCAAGACUCAGACGGGAGGGAGAAGUGGGAAAGAGGGAACAAGGGGCGGAAGCCUGAUGCAGCAACGCCGAGGGCGGGAUAACGGCAAGCGGGUUGUAAACCGAUAACGCCUGUGACGAAGAGUGAGUGACGGUAAUAGGCAAAGAAGGACCGGCUAACUACGUG
rnacentral:rRNA from 1 species